rnacentral:rRNA from 1 species
UAUAUUAACGGUAAGAAAACAGUUAAAUUAAACAAAGUUUAUUAAAUAUUAAUAAAAAAGUGAAAUUUGAUCAUUAAUAAGAAAUCUAAUUUAAGCUGAAAUAUUGAAGCUGUGAAAGCCUUGAGGGAAACUGGGAUUAGAUACCCCAUUAUUCUUGGACAUAAAUAAAUUUUUGUUUACCAAAGUACUACGAAUUUAAUAUUUAAAACUUAAAGGGCUUGGCGGUAUUUUAGACCUCUUAGGGGAACCUGUCUCAUAACCGAUAAUCCACGCUAAACCUAACCUUUUUUUGCAUUCAACUUGUAUACCGUCGUCGUCAGGUAACUUUUCAGAAAAAAACAGUUAGCAAAUAAACUAUUAUAAGUUUUUACGUCAGAUCGAGGUGCAGUUAAUAAAAAGGAGAGGAUGGGUUACAAUUAUUAAGUUAUAACUACGAAAUAAUUACUUGAAAUAAAAUUAUAAAGGAGGACUUAAAAGUAAGAUAAAAUAUAUAAACAUUCUGAAUAAGGCUCUGAAAUGUGCACACAUCGCCC